CAGAGACCUCGAGCGUUAUCCGGAAUCAUUGGGCGUAAAGCGUACCGAUAGGUGGUUAAGAAAGUCAGAUGUGAAAUCUCCGAGCUCAACUCGGAAUCUGUCAUUUGAAACUUCUUGACUAGAGGAGCAAAGAGGAAGCUGGAACGAACGGUGUAGUAGUGAAAUGCGUUGAUAUCGUUCGGAACACCAAUAGCGUAGGCAGGCUUCUGGGUGCUACCUGACACUGCUAGGACGAAAGCGUGGGGAGCGAAGGGGAUUAGAUACCCCCGUAGUCCACGCUGUAAACGAUGUACAUUAGGCGCUAGGGAGUAUCGACCCUCUUUAGUGCCAAAGCUAACGCGUUAAAUGUACCGCCUGGGGAGUACGGCCGCAAGGCUA
rnacentral:rRNA from 1 species